rnacentral:tRNA from 1 species
GGCCCGUUGGUCAAGCGGUUAAGACAACGCCCUUUCACGGCGGUAACACGGGUUCGAAUCCCGUACGGGUCA